GGGACCUUUCCGGGUGUGGCAGACGGGUGAGUAACGCGUGGGAACCUACCUUUAGGUACGGAACAACAGUUGGAAACGACUGCUAAUACCGUAUGUGCCCUAUGGGGGAAAGAUUUAUCGCCUAAGGAUGGGCCCGCGUUGGAUUAGCUAGUUGGUGGGGUAACUGCCUACCAAGGCGACGAUCCAUAGCUGGUCUGAGAGGAUGAUCAGCCACACUGGGACUGAGACACGGCCCAGACUCCUACGGGAGGCAGCAGUGGGGAAUAUUGGACAAUGGGGGCAACCCUGAUCCAGCCAUGCCGCGUGAGUGAUGAAGGCCUUAGGGUUGUAAAGCUCUUUCAGCGAGGAGGAUAAUGACGUUACUCGCAGAAGAAGCCCCGGCUAACUUCGUGCCAGCAGCCGCGGUAAUGA
rnacentral:rRNA from 2 species